GAUGAACGCUGGCGGCGUGCCUAAUACAUGCAAGUCGAGCGAAUGGAUUAAGAGCUUGCUCUUAUGAAGUUAGCGGCGGACGGGUGAGUAACACGUGGGUAACCUGCCCAUAAGACUGGGAUAACUCCGGGAAACCGGGGCUAAUACCGAAUAACAUUUUGAACCGCAUGGUUCGAAAUUGAAAGGCGGCUUCGGCUGUCACUUAUGGAUGGACCCGCGUCGCAUUAGCUAGUUGGGGAGGUAACGGCUCACCAAGGCAACGAUGCGUAGCCGACCUGAGAGGGUGAUCGGCCACACUGGGACUGAGACACGGCCCAGACUCCUACGGGAGGCAGCAGUAGGGAAUCUUCCGCAAUGGACGAAAGUCUGACGGAGCAACGCCGCGUGAGUGAUGAAGGCUUUUGGGUCGUAAAACUCUGUUGUUAGGGAAGAACAAGUGCUAGUUGAAUAAGCUGGCACCUUGACGGUACCUAACCAGAAAGCCACGGCUAACUACGUGCCAGCAGCCGCCGUAA
rnacentral:rRNA from 1 species